AACGCUUGCAACACUUGAGUGAUACUGGAUCCGGCCGUACCCCCACGGAAGGUUCUGGCACAGCACCCAACGUGCAUCCAGGCUUUAAAGAGAUCCCGGUGCCCAUGACCCCAGCAUGGGGGGGUCUGCACCUCACGUGCCUGUGAAGAGCCUUCCGAGGGUGUCAAAGUGUGAAGCUGAAUCCAACUGGAUCAUGGUGCCUCUCCCAGCAGGGACUGCUGCUGGAGUGUCAGGGCUGCAAGUGGUAAGUACAGUUGGAAGGGCUUCAUGUACAUGGAGGGAUGUGUUCACGUGGUUCCACGUGCAGGUAUCUGCACUGUGCAGCUUGGUCAGAUCAGAAAGCAGCUCUCGACUGACUCAGACCCUCAGUUCCACACCAAACACUUCAUUCAGCUCGGGCAGGGACUGGGGUUUGUUGGUUGGGUUUUGUGGGGUUUUUUGAGGGAACAUUCAUGUACAGCUUUGGAAUAAGAGUGGCUGAGGCAAAAAACCAAAUCUGGGGCUUCUGCAGCAGAUGGCUGAAGGCCACAGCAUUGAUCAUGUGGUGAAUUACUGUCAUUACACAGAAUUGUUUCCAAACCUUUUAAAAUACCAGUCAGAUGUUCAGGAACCAUGUGAAAGUCUGGGCCCUUCAUGUGCAUGAAGGGGUGAGAGAUUCAAAGCUUAAAAUGACGAGGGGCUUGUCAUGAGAGCAGGAACAUGGCACAAGUGCAGACAGUCUGAGUAAGGGAGAAGGAACAAACUCUCAUCACUUGCUUUUUAUCACAUAGCUCUCUUAAAGUCUCUUACCAUUAAAAAACUUGAUGAUAUCAGUGAAGUCCAUGUUGUUAUCACGGAUAAUCUCUCGAUAAACUUCCACAAGUGCUAAGGCAAUGAAAAGGACAAAAUGUUCUGAAGAGAUGUGCUUUGCUGCCCAAAUAACUUCCCACACUGUAAAUACAUCCUCGUACAACAAUUCUGAAUGGGAAUAAACAUUACAAGAGCAGCUGAUUAUUCAAAUUGACCAUUUCCCCUUCUCUAACUAAUGUCUUACAGGCCUUAUACAGGCAUGAAUAGUACUUGAUGGCUCCUUUUCCUCUCCCCCAGCCAACUCCUGUCACUUCUUUAUGCAAGUAUGGCAACAGAAUUAGGUUUAUAGGUGUGAUGGUGCAAACUCAACCCCAGGAACAUGCCUGAACUGCAGCAACAUGUGAGGGCAGCACAGGUAGGCCACUGGUUCUAGGUACAGCAGAUGUGUGUAACUGGGUCUACACAUGCCACAAUUCACAUAUGACCCAUGGAAGCUUCAUCUUCUUGAACAAUAUUGGCUCAUCUUCUGCCCAGUCUGAAACAAUGAGGCCUGGAGGUUGGGAUGUGGGGGACAGGCCAUGCUCCAUGAAGGAAAGGGAGAGGGUUUACUAUUCAGUUAAGAGCCACAAUUACUCCCCCCACCCCGCCACUGUCAGAUAGUUGCUUAUAAUGAAUAUCUGAUGGAUGUGUAUCAUCUCCCUCUAUCACCCUUAGGCUUUAGGAUAUUUGAGAGAGCUGUUGUCUUUUGAUUCUUGCAGAUCAGUCUGUAAUUCCAAGGAGCUACUGGCUUGCCUGACAGCAAGAUGAGUCCUCGAUUACAAACAACUGCUUCUGUUGGAGUGGGUGCAGGUGCCUGGUGCUUUCUGGAGUGGAAUGUCUGGGCCUUACAUCUGUCUGAAAACGCCACUCAGCCAGCAUCUUAUGUGAAUACAAACACAGCUAUGGGCUAUUUCAGCUGGAAGAUUCCUAAAAGCUUUAUAACCAACCCACGAUGAAGACAGAGCAGCAUGUGAGACAGGAACAGCUCUUGGAACGUGACUCCUGCUGAAGGCUCUUCAUGUGUUGUGAAAGAAUAAAAGAACGUGAUCAGUUGUCUACUUACAGGAUGAAUUAAUGUUGAAUUUUUUCUCCUUCUGUUCCUCAAAAGCUUAAUAUUAAAAUCUAAUUUAACUGUG